rnacentral:rRNA from 1 species
UAGGGAAUCUUCCGCAAUGGACGCAAGUCUGACGGAGCAACGCCGCGUGAGUGAAGAAGGAUUUCGGUUCGUAAAACUCUGUUGUUAGAGAAGAACAGCGCAUAGAGUAACUGUUAUGCGUGUGACGGUAUCUAACCAGAAAGCCACGGCUAACUACGUGCCAGCAGCCGCGGUAAUACGUAGGUGGCAAGCGUUGUCCGGAUUUAUUGGGCGUAAAGCGAGCGCAGGCGGUCAAUUAAGUCUGAUGUGAAAGCCCCCGGCUCAACCGGGGAGGGUCAUUGGAAACUGAUAAACUUGAGUAGUGGAGAGGAAAGUGGAAUUCCUAGUGUAGUGGUGAAAUACGUAGAUAUUAGGAGGAAUACCAGUAGCGAAGGCGACUUUCUGGACACAAACUGACGCUGAGGUACGAAAGCGUGGGGAGCAAACAGG